rnacentral:lncRNA from 1 species
AGUGAUGAAAAGUAUAACCUGUACCAACAGAAUGGUGGAAACAAAAUUGUUUGUUUAAGCAACAGGGAGUCACAAGACAAACCCUAUUUCUAAAGUUAACUAUAGUGGAAACAAAUUGAGAAAUGCUUGUCUAAGCAACAUGGAGUCACAAGAUAAAUACAAUUUCAUGGGUUAGCUGCAAUGCUGUUUAGUACAGGGAAUGGUGUAUCACUUGCUGGGGAAUGAUCAGUUUGAU